rnacentral:rRNA from 1 species
AUUGAACGCUGGCGGCAGGCCUAACACAUGCAAGUCGAACGAGUGGCGGACGGGUGAGUAAUGUCUGGGAAACUGCCUGAUGGAGGGGGAUAACUACUGGAAACGGUAGCUAAUACCGCAUACCAUCGGAUGUGCCCAGAUGGGAUUAGCUAGUAGGUGGGGUAAAGGCUCACCUAGGCGACGAUCCCUAGCUGGUCUGAGAGGAUGACCAGCAACACGGGAACUGAGACACGGUCCAGACUCUUACGGGAGGCAGAGGUGGGGAAUAUUGAACAAUGGGCGCAAGCCUGAUGCAGCCAUGCCGGGUGUAUGAAGAAGGCCGUCGGGUUGAAAAGUACUUUAAGCGGGGAGGCGUUACCCGCAGAAGAAGCACCGGCAAACUCCGUGCCAGCAGCCGCGUAAUUC